GACUGUUUAGGUUCUAAACAGUACUAUUGUAUAUAAAUGUUUUUGCUUGAUGAGGUAGUUUUUCUUAUAACUACAUUUCUUUUUGUGUAUGUAUUGUGCAUACAUGUAUUUUGUUUUAAGAGUGUAGCAUUGUUAGUUGGUUACAUUCCUUUGUUUAAAUAUUCUUUGUCAUUUAUUUCCUCAAUAAAUGACCAUUCUAAUUCCCUAAAAAAUGUGUUGUGUUAAUGUGUCAACAAGUACAUGUCAAACGGAGCAUCACCCUAUCAGUUAUCCAUAAAAACAUAUUUAUGAACAUAAAAGGUUUAUGGAUAAUGAUCUUCUUUAUUUAAUUUGUAUUUCGCGCCUUUUGUGUAUGACUUAGUAUUAUUUACAUUGUCUGCGCAUGCGCUAGGAGAUAGCGUCAUUCGCCAUUGUUUUUAUUCUGUAAAGGAGAUCGGAGCAAGCCUUACCGCCACCCUCCCCUCCUCCAUGUGUUUAAAGUGUAUAUGUUUUAAAACGAGCGUACUAAUUGUCUUACAAAUUAUAUGGCGGCAAUGGCCCCAUCUUUGACGCUGUUUUAACAAUUUACAUUUGUAUCUUUUUCAUCAGGUACUUUUUGACUUGAUUCUGGUAUUAAUUAUGGUACUGUUAUUUUGACCUUUGGACUGUUUAGGUUCUAAACAGUACUAUUGUUUAUAAAUGUUUUUGCUUGAUGAGGUAGUUUUUCUUAUAACUACAUUUCUUUUUGUGUAUGUAUUGUGCAUACAUGUAUUUUGUUUUAGGAGUGUAGCAUUGUUAGUUGGUUACAUUCCUUUGUUUAAAUAUUCUUUGUCAUUUAUUUCCUCAAUAAAUGACCAUUCUAAUUCCU
rnacentral:misc_RNA from 1 species